UACGUAGGGUGCAAGCGUUGUCCGGAUUUAUUGGGCGUAAAGAGCGUGUAGGCGGCUGGGUAGGUCCGCUGUGAAAACUCGAGGCUUAACCUCGAGACGUCGGUGGAAACCAUCCAGCUAGAGUCCGGAAGAGGAGAGUGGAAUUCCUGGUGUAGCGGUGAAAUGCGCAGAUAUCAGGAAGAACACCCGUGGCGAAAGCGGCUCUCUGGGACGGUACUGACGCUGAGACGCGAAAGCGUGGGGAGCGAACAGG
rnacentral:rRNA from 1 species